UUUUGGGAGUAAAAUUCAACAGCCAGUGGGGAAAAAAGCAACUGAAUUUUUAAAAUGUUAAAUGACCAAGUCUCAUCAGGUGUUAAGACUUGCUACAAGAAUAACUAAUAAUUUCUAGAAAAAAAUUCUGUAAAUGUUUUAUCUAUUUAAAAGCAAAUCAAAUGCAUGCUUUUGGGUUUUCCCAAAAGCCAAGGCAUUGGAUGGUUCACAAGAAGCAGAGGAACGUAUAGGGAAAUGGGAUAUCAUCAUUUAAAACGGUGAAGAGAACAUGAAUAUGUUAGAAUUGCCAAAAAUAAAGUUGAAUUGUGAACAGCUGUUACAGUUUUACUUAAGAUGAGAUUUUUGUUUUGUGAAAACCACAUAGUUUCUGACCUUACUUUCAAAGGAACAUUGUCAUUAAUCAAGUGGUUGAUUCUGAGUAACAAUGGGGUUAAAGAAAUUCACAGAACACAGGAUAGGUAUCAGAUAUUUGGGUACUAAUGAUCCAAGGUUUGCUCUCAUAUUUCAUCCAGAAAUCUCGUUUUCUAGGAAAAUAAGACAAACAUGACUACCGAAGGGAAUACUAUGUAUCUGGACCAUGUUAUGACUUUACCCAACCCUCGCCAUUGUAGCCACUCUUUAAAGAAACUAUUACAUCAACUGAAUAUAAUAGUAUUAAGUUAAUAAAUUCAAAACUCAAAAGUUCAUAAGACAAAUUCAAAGUAAUCUUAAUUUCAGAAUUAUGGUUAAAAAUAUGUUAUUUUGGUUUAUGCUAUAGACAGAAAGUCCAUCAGAUUGC
rnacentral:lncRNA from 1 species